rnacentral:rRNA from 1 species
AGGUAGUGACAAGAAAUAACAGUACAAGGCAGUUAAAAUGCUUUGUAAUUGGAAUGAUAGAAAUUUAAAUACUUUUUAAAGUAUCAAUUGGAGGGCAAGUCUGGUGCCAGCAGCCGCGGUAAUUCCAGCUCCAAUAGCGUAUAUUAAAAUUGUUGCAGUUAAAAAGCUCGUAGUUGAAUUUUUGCUAAAAAUAACCGGUCUGCUUUUAUUAAUAAAAGUGGUAUCUUGGUGUGUUUCUAGCAAUAAUGUCCUUUGAAAUGUUUUUUACUUCAAUGUAAAAAGCAAUUUU